AUCUUGUCACUGUUGCCAGACGACAUUCGGGAAGAAUCCAUAACCCUGCCAUAGAGUAAAAAACAUGUACAAAAAAUAGAGUCAGACAUUUUGGAAGAUAAUCAGGUUCUUUUUCCCAACAGAAUUGCAGCACACAAAAAGUAAAGUCACGAGGAAACACGACAGAAACAAAAGCAUCCGUUUCAGGGUCCAGCACUGGAACCUCUGACACAGUUUCCGGGUUCUUCCUUUCAGAAAACGUUAUCUGGUUAUAUUAUCCAAAAUCAAGACUUUUCACCUCAAAACUGGCUUGGAGAAAUCAUGGGUUCCUAUCAAGACGCCAAAUGGUACAGCAUGUUGCAUCCUCCUCCCAAAACUUCAGAAGUCCUAAGGAACUAUGCAUUCCCAGAAAUAACAAGAGUGACAACCCUGGGAAAUGACAGAGGCCUGAAGGCUGUCUCUUAAUUGGUGGGUAGCCUGGGGUUAGGGGCAGUGGGUGGCAGCCUUGAGGGGCUCAGUGUGAGGGAAAAUUUUAAGGACCGUUCUUGCCUCUCCCCUGAGUUGCUUGGAAGCGAUCACUUUCCUUUCUCAGUAGAAACAAGUAGCAACCACCCAGAUGUAGCUAGGAUAAAAUUAGAGUAGCAUUAGGUUAGCUGAUGAAAGCAGGGAAGGGCUGAACAAUCCUUGAUCCUUCACUCCUCCACCUCCUCCGUCUCCCAAGCCCCAGGUGACAACCUCAAAUGCCUCCUCAAAUGCCGCUUUCCCCAAGAGCUCAAAGGUGACAGAUCCUGACCACAGGAGUUGAGUGGUCACAGUGUUUCACGGUUUCUGAGACUGUCUGCGCCUGGGGCCAUCACCUCCCCUCAUAUUAAACUUACUUAGAAAAACACACCUUAGGCACUAGGUCUCAACAAAGGUGACUAUAUAAUACAGCACCCAGGAGAGGACACUUCUGAGAGUGAAAAGGACACACUAUUAA
rnacentral:lncRNA from 1 species